rnacentral:rRNA from 1 species
UAGGGAAUCUUCGGCAAUGGACGAGAGUCUGACCGAGCAACGCCGCGUGAGUGAAGAAGGUUUUCGGAUCGUAAAACUCUGUUGGUAGAGAAGAACGUUGGUGAGAGUGGAAAGCUCAUCAAGUGACGGUAACUACCCAGAAAGGGACGGCUAACUACGUGCCAGCAGCCGCGGUAAUACGUAGGUCCCGAGCGUUGUCCGGAUUUAUUGGGCGUAAAGCGAGCGCAGGUGGUUUAUUAAGUCUGGUGUAAAAGGCAGUGGCUCAACCAUUGUAUGCAUUGGAAACUGGUAGACUUGAGUGCAGGAGAGGAGAGUGGAAUUCCAUGUGUAGCGGUGAAAUGCGUAGAUAUAUGGAGGAACACCGGUGGCGAAAGCGGCUCUCUGGCCUGUAACUGACACUGAGGCUCGAAAGCGUGGGGAGCAAACAGGAUUAGAUACCCUGGUAGUCCACGCCGUAAACGAUGAGUGCUAGAUGUAGGGAGCUAUAAGUUCUCUGUAUCGCAGCUAACGCAAUAAGCACUCCGCCUGGGGAGUACGACCGCAAGGUUGAAAC